rnacentral:lncRNA from 1 species
GCUUUUCUUGGCGAAGCGAGGAAGCACAGUUGCGCGCCUCUCCAUAGCCCCUCUAUACUCUAUAGGCUAUUAGUACCCAGCGCAAGCGCCUGAUUUGGAAGCUUGCUGUGUAAUUUCAUAAAGAAAGAAAAGUGUGUGAACCUCAGCGAAUCCGGAUUUCAAACUAGCCUCCUGGACUGAACCGACCUUUUUAAUAGGUUAUAACUAUCAAUAAAGUAGGAAUGGUAAAGAAAGAGAUGCACUUUCUGGACACAGGAUCCAGAGUUUUUUCGAGAAAGGGUCCCUUCCCUCAAUAUCAUGAUCGGGUCGACCAGGCCAGAUCAUGAGUGAAUAGAAAAUCGAAAAUUUCAAUAGCUGUUGCUGUUCCAGCCAUUUUUUUUAACCACUU